rnacentral:rRNA from 1 species
GACGAACGCUGGCGGCGUGCUUAACACAUGCAAGUCGAACGGAAAGGCCCUGCUUUUGUGGGGUGCUCGAGUGGCGAACGGGUGAGUAACACGUGAGUAACCUGCCCUUGACUUUGGGAUAACUUCAGGAAACUGGGGCUAAUACCGGAUAGGAGCUCCUGCUGCAUGGUGGGGGUUGGAAAGUUUCGGCGGUUGGGGAUGGACUCGCGGCUUAUCAGCUUGUUGGUGGGGUAGUGGCUUACCAAGGCUUUGACGGGUAGCCGGCCUGAGCGGGUGACCGGCCACAUUGGGACUGAGAUGCGGCCCAGACUCCUACGGGAGGCAGCAGUGGGGAAUAUUGCACAAUGGGCGGAGGCCUGAUGCAGCAACGCCGCGUGCGGGAUGACGGCCUUCGGGUUGUAAACCGCUUUCGCCUGUGACGAAGCGUGAGUGACGGUAAUGGGUAAAGAAGCACCGGCUAACUACGUG